UACGAGGGGGGCGAGCAUUAUUCGAUAUUAUUGGGCGUAAAGGGUAUUUAGGUUGUUUGAAAGGUUGAAAAUAAAAAAACUAAAGCUUAAACUUUUGUAUAUUUUUAAAACCAUCAAACUUGAGUUUAGGAGAGGGAAGCAGUACUCCUAGAGGAGAUUUAACAAUUGACGAUUUUAGGGGGACUAUCAACAGGCGCAAGCAGCUAACCAUAACAUUUAACUGACACUGAAAAUACGAAAGCAUGGGGAGCGAAUUGG
rnacentral:rRNA from 1 species